GAUGAACGCUGGCGGCGUGCCUAAUACAUGCCAGUCGAGCGAACGGACGAGAAGCUUGCUUUUCUGAUGUUAGCGGCGGACGGGUGAGUAACACGUGGAUAACCUACCUAUAAGACUGGGAUAACUUCGGGAAACCGGAGCUAAUACCGGAUAAUAUUUUGAACCGCAUGGUUCAAAAGUGAAAGACGGUCUUGCUGUCACUUAUAGAUGGAUCCGCGCUGCAUUAGCUAGUUGGUAAGGUAACGGCUUACCAAGGCAACGAUGCAUAGCCGACCUGAGAGGGUGAUCGGCCACACGGGAACUGAGACACGGUCCAGACUCCUACGGGAGGCAGCAGUAGGGAAUCUUCCGCAAUGGGCGGAAGCCUGACGGAGCGACGCCGCGUGAGUGACGAAGGUCUUCGGAUCGUAAAACUCUGUUAUUAGGGAAGAACAUAUGUGUAAGUAACUGUGCACAUCUUGACGGUACCUAAUCAGAAAGCCACGGCUAACUACGUG
rnacentral:rRNA from 1 species